rnacentral:tRNA from 30 species
GAGCAGUCUGGUAGCUCGUCGGGCUCAUAACCCGAAGGUCGUUGGUUCAAAUCCAGCUCCCGCUACCA